rnacentral:lncRNA from 1 species
CACAGCCACGGUAAAGGCUGCAGAUUAACAGGAUAGCUGGAAGUCCCGCUGGCCAUCGGACACUCGUUCAUUAGGUGCUAACUAUGUGUCAGGCACUGGGUACUGGGAUGCGAUGGUGAACAAGACAGCCACAGACCAGCUCUCCUUGGAAACUGAGCUCAGAGGUGGAAACCAACCUAAAUAAACGGUCACGAUCAAGCUGUCAGUAGGACCGAUUCCUUGGAGAAACUCUGGAAAUAGUGAGUGCCUUCUGCUUCCCCAGUUCCCAGAAGCCCUCUGCAACCCUUAGCUUGUGGCCCCUUUGAUCUUCAAUAUCAGCAAUUACCAGUCAAGUCUUUUUCACGCUGCGUCCUUUGACCUCUUCUCUUGCUUCUAUCUUUCACUUUCAAGCACAUUUGUGAUGAUUUGGGGCUUACCUGGACAAUCUACAGUUAUGUUUUCUGGGAAACAUAACACAGUCACGACUUUUAGGUGGUGUCUGUGCCUGUCGCAGGCAGUUGGACUGACAAAAUAUGAACCGUGCUCAGAUGCCAAGAGCACACAGUGGCUGUGCAAUGAGGGAGCCCGAGGAUGGCCACUGAUGGCAGGCAUUUCGGAACCCUUCUCCAAAGCUCUAGAGCUCUAGACCAAUGAUUCUCAACCUUCUUUUUUAAUGUGCAUUGGUAUUUUGCCUACAUGUAUGUCUGUAUGAAAGUUUCAGAUCUUGGAUUACAGACAUCUGUGAGCUGCCAUGUGGGUGCUGGGAAUUGAACCUGGAUCCUCUGGAAAAGCAGCUAGAUGCUCUUAACUGCUGAGCCAUCUCUCCAGCCCCCGGUUCUCAACAUUCUUAAUGCUGAGACCUUUAAUAUAUUUCUCAUGUUGUAGUGACUCCCAACGAUAAAAUUAUUUUUGUUACUACUGUUAUGAAUUGUAAUAUCUGUUUUUUUUUAUAGUCUCAGGUGAUCCCUGUGAAAGGCAACCCACUGACUGAGAAGCCCUGCCCUAGUGGUCAGCUGGCAUCCCUGAGUAAGAGCUAGCUCCUCUGAGGGGGUCUAGCUCCUCAUUCGCAGGGCCUGCUUUCAAGUGCUAGGAAUUACUAAGAUCUAAAGACUUGGGAUGCAGAUAUUGGUGAGAGGUGCUAUUCUGCAUGCCAUGAGGUAUUGCUGAGAGAAGGAGGAAGAAAAAGAAUAGGAGGAAAGAAAUUACACCGAGUCACUCUCAUCUGAAGUCUGAUUGCACCCAGGAUAAAAGACCUUCUCGGACAAUUACCGGAUGGUCUGGGAGAGGGAGCCAAAGGGCAGGGACUGCUAGAUGGCUCUAGAAGCCAUUUAGAGAUUUGCACAUUGCUGCUAUCCUAAAUCCUACUUCCUCAGUUAGGACACGGGCAAACAGAAGUGCACCUGCAGACUGGCCUUUGCCAAGUAGAGAAGCCUCAGGUGUUAUAACUGAGGACUAGUAUGUGCAGACUCCAAGCAAGGAAGAUCAUUUUUCAUCACUGGCCAUCGCAGAGGCCAGCGGGCAGGGCUGCUGUGAGGACCCUGACAUGCCCAGGUGUAUGCCCUAGCCUGCCAUCAUUCGGACAGGCUAGACGAUGAUGCAGUAUAAGGGAGGAGUGAUUUACUCUGGCUCACAGUUUCAGACCUUUCAGCCCGAAACCAUGUGGCCCCAUUGCUUUUUACCUGAGGUGGGGUAGACUACCAUGGUGACAAGGACAUAUGACAGAGCAGUGGAAAGACAAGGGACCAGAGACAGAGGCAUAUCCCAAGUGACCUGCUUCCUCUAGCCAGAUCUGGUCUAAGAUUUCCUCCACUUAUCAAAUUAGGAAUUUGUGACUUCAUCCCCCAGUCACAUCAGAGUUCUCCAAGUCUAAUGAGCACUCGGUGACUGGAUCCAUGAGCUGAGGACUAAACUCCAACACUCAUGCCUUUUCACAGAGGGGCUGCCAUCAAGCCUGUACUUCCUGCUGAUAAGUUAAUCUACACAGAAUACUCUCAUCUCACCUUGCAGCACUGAGGAGAAGAGGAAAGGACCAGAGGAGGCAGCAAGCAGCCCUUUUUAGGGCAUGGCCUAGAAUGGACUCUUUCAGCUUUGGCACUGAUGACACUUGUGCCAAGCAACUCUUUUGUGUAAGGGGCUGUUUUGUACAGCAUAGCUUGUGCCACGCCUCUAGAAUCCACCUUCUAGAUAACAGGAAUCACAGCUUCUGGAAGUGACCGUGAAGAACGUCUCCAGACUUUGUCAAAUGCUCUGGGAAGCAAAGUCGCAUGCAGUUAAGUGGAUAUAGGAGAGAGCAUGCUAUUCUGGUACCCUCCUCUUGCUCAGAACUUAGGAAACGGUCACUCCUCUAAAGUGUAAGCAGGGGUUCUAUCAGUAAGGAAGUGGCUGACACGUGGCUUCAGCUGGUGGUCUCUGGGAGACUAACAGCUUCCGAGCCUCUGCUUAGUGUCCGAGUCACGCUCCUGAACACAUGGGAUGUGCUGUGAGGAUGGUCGCUAGUGAGAGGAGUUUCUGAACCUGUCUCCAGAGUCCUAGCUGGUCAGUUGGCAUCCCUGAGGCAACGCUAUCUGAGGAGUUGGCCCUUUAACCACUGGACUUGCUUCCCAAUGCUGGGGGAGUCAAAGACAUUUCCUGGAGCCACAGGCUUCCCAGUUCUAUGUCACACUGAAUGCGAACUUUGGCUUUAACUUCUGGCUCUGUCUUACAUGCGUCCAGAGUGACUUUGCUUCUCCCAUAGUGGGUUUCAAAGGCGAACAGUAUUGGCUUUUAUUUUGACCAUGAGUUAGCUCUGUGGUUCUUUGUCAUCCUGCUUUCCUCGUCUGUAAAGUUAGGGCAGGGUCCGCUUUCACUCAGGGUUGUUGGGGGAAUUAAGUGAGAUGAUGUGGAAGAGAGACUUGUGCUCAUUCUUCAGACUUCAACACCUAAGGGCCUGGCAAAUUGAUACUCAGGUUUAAGCACUGGAGUCUGGGUCUCCAGGGUUAACAUGAGUGCUUCGUAGGCAUGGCAGCCUACUUGAAAUCCGGGAACUGUGGGAUUUGAUGAGGAUGGGGAACGCCAAGGGAAACAGGGUACUCAGAGCACGCUGGUCAACAAGCCAACAGAACAGUGGCCUCUGUGCCCAGUAAACACGCUGGUGAGCAGCAGUGAAGUAUGACACCUAAGAUCAACUUCUGUCCUGCAUGUGUGUGUGCACAUACACAUAUCCAUAUUUCACACACACCCCCAUACAUAUGCAUACAUGGGAAAAGAAGGAGAAAGAAGACUGACUAGCAGCCGCAUGUCGAGGAGAGCAGGAUCUUAUCUUCGCAGUGUUUCCCUGUGGUAUUUACUGCCCUUGUUAUGGUCGUUGAUUCUAGAACUUGCCAGCCAGUGGGUAGAUGAGGCUGAACCAAUACAUACUGGGUCUGCAUGUGGAAGAAUGAGGCUUGCAGCCAACGGCCGUCCACAUCUCUGAUGAGGAUCAGGUAGGUAAGGACGAGUGGAGGCUGACCAAAGCAGAGCAGCCAAGGACUUGGUCCUAGAAGCCAGGGACAGAGCUUCUGUCAUCUUUAGGAACUCAGAGGACUGAAUGGAGGUGGGGCUGUCAGGCUGGGUGGGUGGUCAACCAUUACAGAAAGUCAGGACAGACAACC